CAAGCGCAAGAGAUCCAGCAGAAGAAGGAGGCAUUCUAUGACGCGGUGUCUAAUGUGGAGCUUAAGAUGAAGGAGUUCAAUGAUGCCUUAGUUAAGGCGGUGGAUCCUACUGGCCAGAAGCAUCUUUCUGCGCCACGGACCGGCUAUGAGCGCAUUAAGAUGUAUGGAUUAAGAGCUCUGGGUGUGAUAGAGUUAACUUCCAAGACAGCCGUCUUCGUGGUGUUUGCUCUUUCCUUCGUUCGUCUCAGCAGCAUGAAGACCGAAGAGUUGACGUCAGGGGAAACCACCACUGAAGUGAAGGCCGCAAAUUGACAAGUCCAACAUGGAUCGCGCCCCAGCUUGUUCUUCACUCUCUAAUUAUCAACUGCAGUUUGGCUACCAAGCACUAUGCUAUCUUUGUGAUGGUGCGUGACGUCGCAUGCUGUUAUGUCUCUAUAUAUCUGUUUGUUCGGACCGGACGGGUGAUGUCAACAUAUAUGCAUGCAUUGUUGCUGGUGUUACUGCCUUAUUUUAGUAGAGGACCACAUUCCAAUCCUGUUAGAAGAUUGAGUAUCUCUAAGCAAAUUGUAUGAUGCCCUUUUGCGAUCCAUUCAUUUUGUGACA